GACGAACGCUGGCGGCGUGCUUAACACAUGCAAGUCGAACGGAAAGGCCCUGCUUUGGUGGGGUGCUCGAGUGGCGAACGGGUGAGUAACACGUGAGUAACCUGCCCUUGACUUUGGGAUAAGUUCAGGAAACUGGGGCUAAUACCGGAUAUGAGCUCCUGCUGCAUGGGGGGGGUUGGAAAGUUUCGGCGGUUGGGGAUGGACUCGCGGCUUAUCAGCUUGUUGGUGGGGUAGUGGCUUACCAAGGCUUUGACGGGUAGCCGGCCUGAGAGGGUGACCGGCCACAUUGGGACUGAGAUACGGCCCAGACUCCUACGGGAGGCAGCAGUGGGGAAUAUUGCACAAUGGGCGGAAGCCUGAUGCAGCAACGCCGCGUGCGGGAUGACGGCCUUCGGGUUGUAAACCGCUUUCGCCUGUGACGAAGCGUGAGUGACGGUAAUGGGUAAAGAAGCACCGGCUAACUACGUG
rnacentral:rRNA from 1 species